UCUGCCCCAGGACUGCCUUUGCUUCAACAGCAAAGGCAGCAGAUAAUAGCCCAGCUGAGGGCUGUGAAUAGACAGAUUUAUGCCAAUCUACCAAGGAGAGCUGGCAGGGGCAGGGGCCGCAGGCCGAGGCCCAGAGGGGCCGUAACAAAAAA